rnacentral:rRNA from 1 species
UACGAAGGGGGCUAGCGUUGCUCGGAAUCACUGGGCGUAAAGCGCACGUAGGCGGCUUGUUAAGUCAGGGGUGAAAUCCUGGAGCUCAACUCCAGAACUGUCUUUGAUACUGGCGAUCUCGAGUCCGGGAGAGGUGAGUGGAACUGCGAGUGUAGAGGUGAAAUUCGUAGAUAUUCGCAAGAACACCAGUGGCGAAGGCGGCUCACUGGCCCGAUACUGACGCUGAGGCACGAAAGCGUGGGGAGCAAACAGG